rnacentral:rRNA from 2 species
GAUGAACGCUGGCGGCGCGCCUAACACAUGCAAGUCGAACGGUUAAAGCACCUUUUAGGUGUGUAUAAAGUGGCGAACGGCUGAGUAACACGUGGGCAACCUGCCCUCCUCUUGGGGAUAGCCUCGGGAAACCGAGGAUAAUACCCGAUACUUCAAUGUGGCCGCAUGACGACAUUGAGAAAGCUUUUGCGGAGAAGGAUGGGCCCGCGGCCUGUUAGCUUGUUGGUGGGGUAGAGGCCUACCAAGGCAAUGAUGGGUAGCUGGGUUGAGAGACCGACCAGCCAGAUUGGGACUGAGACACGGCCCAGACUCCUACGGGAGGCAGCAGUGGGGAAUCUUGCACAAUGGGCGAAAGCCUGAUGCAGCGACGCCGCGUGCGGGACGAAGGCCUUUCGGGUUGUAAACCGCUUUCCAGCAGGGACGAGGCGAAAGUGACGUACCUGCAGAAGAAGCCCCGCUAC